AUGCUGCUUAAUAUGCAAUCUUUCAAUAGAGUCGGUCAAAGGACCAAAUCCACCCAUUAUUGCAUGUUUUUAUCCUAAAGGCUCCCUGAAAAACCUGAUGCUCUCAUACCUGUCCCAGAGGAUAAUGGCCCUCCAUUGCUUCCUGUGAAAACAGAGAAACAUCUUUCAGAUGAUAGCAAGAUCUGGGCAUUAAAAAAAAUUAAAACCGAAGUCAACCUCCUUUCUCUGGGAGAGUGUGGGUUGACAGCAAUUAAAAUGGCUUCAUCUAAAGCAAAACAAGAGAUGGCCCACUUUUGAAUGGAGGACCAGGUUGAGUCAAAUAGGCUCCCUGAAAAACCUGAUGCUCUCACACUUGUCCCAGAGGAUAAUGGCCCUCCAUCGCUUCCUGUGGUAAAGUGAUCCUUUGUGAAAUUCAUUUUCUUAUGAAUGUUGUUAAAAUGCAGCAGUAGUCUACCUACCUCAGUUUUGUAUGAAAAUUUGGCUAGAGAAAAUUAUUUUGUUGGUGUGAACCAUCACUUCUAUAAAUUGUAAAUGAGCAAUAAGACCUUGUAGGUAGUGGUGGCCCAAUACAAGAAUGGACUGGAAAGACAGUGGUAAGAAGACAAAGGCUGACCUCCACAGCUCAGGGCAACUGAAAACCCAGGUACUGGAUUUCAUUACAGUUCAUGCUUCUGAGGCCUCUGAGACCUCAGCCUGGAAGGCAAUGGUGGGCGCAUAUCCCCAUUUAGUGGCUGAAGCAUACCAUUCCUGGCUUCUGCUCAUCUCCCUUUCUUGGAGUCCCCUUUCAAAUGCUUGAAGCAAUCUUAGGACCUGGUCAGCCUUGUCCUACACUUGUCUCCGAGAAGCAGUAGCUAAAUGUUGUUAUCAAUGACACCUGGUUAGGAUACGGGAUGUGUGGAACAUUUCCAGUGGAACUGGGGAAAGACAGCAUGGUGGCUCAGGGUAUAAUACAGCUGUAAAUGAGUUGUCAGGUUAAGGGAGGGGAAGUGCUGAACUAUGUUGUGCACUAUGCUGUUACUGUCCUGGUUUGAUUUUUGUCAAUGAGUUGGAAACUGGAAUUCAUUUUAGUUGCUGACCCCAAGCACAUUACAACAACAUUUCUUUGGAGAACCCUGUCUGGAUUGGACUGAGCAGAACUUAUGGUCAAUGACUCUGGAAAGGAGAAAAUAAACAUGAAUGUUUGCUUACAAGAGAAGUGGAAGAGAAUGCUUACAAGAGAAGUGGAAGAGAAUGAAGACAUUUUUUCUCCUAACUCAGUGUGUGGGACUAAAGAGAUGAGUCAGUUGCAAAAGCAAUGUUUGCUCUUGCAGAGGACCCUUGUUCAGUCCUCCUCUUUCCUCCAUGGACACAUCCAUCUCUGUAAACAAUAUAUACCCAAAUAAAAUACCAAAUGAAUAAAAAUGUUAAAAUCAGUUUGUGGAUUCCAGUGUUGUUUUUGUUUGAAGAAUCCCAUAUUAGUCCAUCCAGCUCUGUUCAUCUGUGGAAGUUUAUGCAGGGUCUUACUGCCACACUCAUAAAAAAAAACUAUGAGACAAUACCUACAGAAAUACUGUUUCACUC